UGUAGUUCAAUAAAGAUCAUGUUAUAUUUUUGCCGGUCUCUUUGAAUGUCCUACAAAUAGUCUUGCCCAUAUUCUCGGGGUCCUUUUAAUGUGCAACACCCUCAAUUAACAUGAACACAAGUAGGGCCGGGCGCGGUGGCUCACGCCUGUAGUCCCAGCACUUUGGGAGGCCAAGGUGGGUGGAUCACGAGGUCAAGAGAUCGAGACUAUCCUGGUCAACAUGGUGAAACCCUGUCUCUACUAAAAAUACAAAAAAUCGCGUGCCUGUAAUCCCAGCUACUCAGGAGGCUGAGGCAGAAGAAUUGCCUGAACCCAGGAGGCAGAGGUUGCAGUGAGCCGAGAUCGCACCAUUGCACUCCAGCCAAGAGCAAAACUCCGUCUCAAAAAAAAAAAACAAAACAAAACAUGAACACAAGUAAUCAUAACCGGCACUUUAUGUAAAUUCCACUAACUCUUUGAGCAAGUAUGAUCUUCAUUUUGAAGAUCAUAUUUCAUGAUUAAACAGGCUGGGGAAACAUAAAUAACUUGCCCAAGGAAACAGCUAGUUAGUGGUAAGUGGUGUUCCAAAUUAGGUCCAAGUUCAAAGCUCACAUCAUAUUCACUACAUUCCUCUGACUUUUUUUUUUUUUGAGACAGGAUCUCACUCUGUCACCCAGGCUGGAGUUCAGUGUGCCAUCAUAGCUCACUGCAGCCUCAACCUCCUGGGCUCAAGCGGUCCUCCCAACUCUGCCUCUGGAGUCGCUGGGGCUACAGGUGUGCACGACGACACUUGAGUCGGGGUUUCACCAUGUUGGCUUGGCUGGGCUCAAGCUCCUGGCCUGUGAUCCGCCUGCCUUGGCCCCCCCACAGUGCAUGGAGUACAGUGUGAGCCACCACACCCGACUGAAACAUCAUGAUUUUAUUAAGCAAACUCCUUGCUUUUGAAUCAGCUUUACUUAUUUGGUGGCUCCAGACAUCCUUUGUUAUGUGGCUGCCACUCUCUGCCUUUGUCUUCACAUGACCUUCUCUUUGCUCUUAUAAGGACACGUCAUUGGAUUUAGGUAAUGACCUAGGUGAUCCAGAAUGAUCUCAUCUUGCACUACUUAAUUACAUCUACAAAGACUCUUUUUUUCAAAUAGAGUCACAUUCACCGGUUCUAGAGAUUAGGGGUGACCAUGUUUUUGUGGGGGAAGGGUAGCACAAUUCACCCCGUUAUCGAAAACACAUUUAUAAAGCCAUUGGGAUAGAAAUUCCAGGAGUUUUCAAUGAUCAUUUUAUCUUAAUUAUAAAUUACUAUUUUGAAGUGCUCCAGAGGGGUCUUAUGUCCUCAGUUUGGAAGGGGCUGCUACUGGAUGAGCAUUGAGAAUUAAUAUUGCAUGGCGACGCCACCUACUGGUUGCUAAGAUUAACAACUGGGAGACUUGGAGGUCAGACAGUAGAAUAGCAUGCAGCAGCACAGAAAAUAAACUUGAUUACGUGAAACCAUACUUGUUAUUAGCACAUUGAAAAUACAGAAUGGCUAUUCAAAUACAGCUCCCUUCCCUCUCUGAGCCUCAGUUUCUCUACCUGCAAAGGUGAAGAUUUCUUCACUCAUUCCUUCAUUUAUUAAAGCACAGUUAUUUGGACAUCCACUAGG
rnacentral:lncRNA from 1 species